UGAGGCAGGAGGAUUGCUUGAACCUGGGAGGUUGAGGUGGCAGUGAGCCAUGAUUGUGCCAUUCCACCCCAGCCUGGGCAAUACAGUAUGACUCUGAAUAAUAAUAAUAUAUAUUUUGUUGAGACAGUCUCACUCUGUUGCCCAGGCUGGAUGCAGGGGUGCGAUCUUGGCUCACUGCAACCUCUGCCUCCCAGGUUGAAGCAAUUCUCUGUCUCAGCCUCCUGAGUAGCUGGGAUUACAGGCAUGCACCACCACGCCCAGC
rnacentral:sRNA from 1 species